AGGAUCAACGCUGGCGGCGUGCCUAAUGCAUGCAAGUCGAACGGGGGUCCCUUCGGGGACCUUACGUGGCGGACGGGUGAGGAACACGUGGCCAAUCUGCCCACUGGCAGGGGGUAGCCCGCGGAAACGCGGGGUAAUUCCGUAUGCGCUCAGGGUCCGAGUGGGGAUGCUGAGGAAAGGGUCUUCGGACUCGCCGGUGGAGGAGGCUGCGGCCGAUUAGCUAGUUGGUGGGGUAACGGCUUACCAAGGCGAUGAUCGGUAGCUGGUCUGAGAGGAUGAUCAGCCACACGGGGACUGAGACACGGCCCCGACUCCUACGGGAGGCAGCAGCAAGGAAUUUCCGCAAUGGGCGAAAGCCUGACGGAGCAACGCCGCGUGCGGGAUGACGCUUUUCGGAGUGUAAACCGCUGUUCGUGGGUACGAAGCACGUGACGGUACCCACGGAGGAACGGCCCGGACGUAACUACGUGCCAGCAGCCGC
rnacentral:rRNA from 1 species